GGGCGAUUGGCGCAGCGGCUAGCGCGCUUCCUUCACACGGAAGAGGCCAUAGGUUCGAUUCCUAUAUCGCCCACAA
rnacentral:tRNA from 2 species